GACGAACGCUGGCGGCGUGCUUAACACAUGCAAGUCGAUCGGAGCGGCGAACGGGUGAGUAACGCGUGAGUAACUGCCCCCCUCUCUGGGAUAACCGUUGGAAACGGCUGCUAAUACCGGAUAGUGGGGGAUGACUCGCGUCCUAUCCGCUUGUUGGUGGGGUAGUGGCCUACCAAGGCGACGACGGGUAGCCGGCCUGAGAGGGCGACCGGCCACAGUGGGCUGAGAUACGGCACAAACUACUGCGGGAGGGAGAAGUGGGGAAUAAUGCACAAUGGGGGAAACCCUGAGGCAGCAACGCCGCGUGCGGGAUGACGGCCUUAGGGUUGUAAACCGCUUUCAGCCAUGACGCGGUAGUGGCAGAAGAAGCACCGGCAAACUACGAGCCAGAAGCCGCGGUAAUUC
rnacentral:rRNA from 1 species